AGAAGGUUCUUGUCUGGUAUGAGGGUCCAUUUGUGCCAGGGUUUCACCUCUUGCAUUAGCUCCUGGAACACAUGUCGCCAUUGCUCUGUGUCUCCUAUGUCUUCUUCCAUCAUGGCUACAGUGCUGGGUCCAGGCUGGGGCAGGGUCUUCUGGGUCCAGAAAGACCUGUGGCAAGAGGGGAAUUGUUCACUCAGACAGCAAGGCUUCAGGCUGGCAGUCCCUCUGAAGACCUGAAUUGGGACUGUAGUUCAGAUCCUUCUGUCCCAGGGACAAAGGUCAGUUGAGUCUGUUCCCAAGUUCAGAGGACAGCAGUGGACAACCACAAGAAAUCACAAAACUCCAAGCUUUGGUUUUUAAGGUCUCAAUACACUAGUGAGGGAGAAAGUUCUGGAGUCCAAAGCAGGGAUGAGCGGCCUCUGGCAGAGUCUCUGAAAGGGCUGGAGGCUACUCUUGCCUUUUCUGGUUUUAACAUUUGGAAAUCUUCAUCUUUUGUGCUGCUGAGCUCCUACUUGAGGCAAAAGAGGCCUCCCUGGGAGUCCCACACUCUGGGAAGUCCUCAGUCACACCUAGUAUCUCAGGAGGAUGGUGGGUGAUCUGUAGACAUCCAGCUGUUCCCCGCGCCCACCAACCACAGCCUGACCCCGGAGGUCUCCGGCCCAACCAAAUUUUCCACUUACCAGAAAUCGAAGCUGGUGCAGCCAGUGUUUGCCUGGGAGAUUAGGUGAUGUGUCCCUAGAUGAGUGGAAGGCUGCUGGUCCAAGACCAACAGGAACCCAUUGCCUUCCUCCACAAGAAGGUUGGCUCACUAUCACCCUAAACCGAGGAAGGCAGAGAGGAGCACAGUUGGAUCAGGCAGUACUCUAUUUAAGGCAGACAAGAUUGGGAGUGUCUACACCCCGAGAUUCCAUCCACAGAUAGGGUGGGUCUUCCUAUCAACUGAUUGCCCUGGCUGCUUCCCAAACUGGACGCUCCGCAGCCUGGAAGAAAAGAAGGAAACCAGGGGGGAGGGGCUUCCUGUGGUUUGGAAACUGAGUUUCUCCAGGCUUCUCCCGACCGCCUCUGCCCUACAUCACAGCUUUAUGGCCAGACUCACACCAUGGUCUUUUCUCCCUGCUUUCAUUUAGUUUCUCAAUGUUAUUUGCUCAGUUAUAAAUUAACUACAUCAUUUGGGAAGGUAGUUCAGUUUCUAUUUUUUGGCUCUCCCCCUUUUCAGCUUUUCACUAUGGGGUAUCCUUCUCUCCCCCACCCCCAACCCCCAGUUGCUUAUUCCGGCUUUCGAUAAAUAGGAGUUCUCUAUUUAUGGUCAAUGGUGCUAUGCUCCUCACAUGUUUGGGGUCUUUCCUAGAGGUCUCACUGUGUAAGACAGUCCCUAGGGCUGGUGCUGACAUAUUUCCGAGAGAAAGGAGGCUACUGUGUUUCUAAUAUGGAAAGUACAAAUGUUAGGGGAGUUUGUUCCUAGUUGUGGUGCCGGCUGUGGACUCACUGUUGAUAAGUCAACAACUGAACAUAAACUGGGUCAGCUUUAAACAAAGGUUUAAAGCUAGGCUUGCAUUAGCCUCUCCUGGGGAAAAGGGUGAAUGCCUAGUCACAGGGAUGUCACUGAGCUUGUACUGGUCAGGUGACUGAAGCACAAGCAGAGGACUGCUAGACCCUCACGUAGUCCCCUUAGGAGAAACGGCUCUGUGUUCAAGACAACAGUUAGGGCCUCCAUGUGCAGCAGGAAUUAACUAUGCCUUCCUUUGCUCACCUCGUGGUGGCUUGCCUCCUCUCCUGCAUUAUACAGGAGAGCUAAGUUGGUAGUGAAACUAAAUCUUUGCCUCUCUCCAAUUUUUUUUUUUAAGAAUUUCUUUUCUUUCUUUCUUUCUUUCUUUUUUUUUUUUUAAGAUUUAUUUAUUUUANNNNNNNNNNNNNNNGAUCCCAUUACAGAUGGCUGUGAGCCACCAUGUGGUUGCUGGGAAUUGAACUCAGGACCUUCAGAAGAGCAGUCAGUGCUCUUUACCUGCUGAGCCAUCUCUCCAGCCCCCUCUCUCCAAUUUUUGUUUAGAAUGUUACUAAAGCCUUAACUUAGUUAGCCAGCAAUCCUAUACCCUGCGGGUCCCCAAGACCAACAUCCAAGGUUCUCUCUUAUCAGCUCAGACCUCUGAGCCCAUGGUUAGGACUUGUGGACCUUUCCCAAGUGGGUUGAAUUGUGACAUCCCAAAUGAGGUAUCUACUUGUGAAUGUGUGUGGAAAACUUGAGUGUUUUCAGAUGUAAUUAAGGACCCGAGAGAAGAGAAGAGACCUUCUUUGCAAGAUUUAGAGUUUCUGUGGCUACCAGGACAUAGCAUAGCAGCAAGAAGACAGGUGAAAGGCCAAACUGCAUGUCACUCACAACCUGACCUGGAGAAGGAUGCCAGGCGAGCCUACACAGCGUGCCCAGGGACACGGAACAGCAAAGUGUAGCUACAGAGCACAGCAGGAGCAUCUUUAGGCUUGCAUUAGCCUCUCCUGGGAAAAUGAGCCGAUGUCUAGUCACUCCAGGUCAAAGUCCAGCAGCAGGCAUCUUUCCCAUGGUAUGCAGAGGGAGGUGUCACACAGAAGCACAGAAGAACCAUCAGAGACACAAGCAGUGACUAGGCUUACAUUGUCACAAGCAAAGGAACACCUGGGACCCGAAGAGCAGAAGUUUCUCCCCGGACCCUCUGAAUGGGCAGAAGGACUGCAGACCACUUACUUUUGAACGUCUUGCUUGCAGAACCGUAAAUAACCACUCAUAAGCUUGGGUUGUGAAAUUCUCAGAGGCAAGCUCAUCACUAGAUGUGCCCACAGAGAGAAGAGCCCCAGCCUGGCUCUGAGUCCACAUGCAAGGAAGGGCGACCAUGCCCAGAAGAGGAGACGAAUCUCCAUUGUGACGUUGCUGGAAGAUGCCUGGUGGGACAAUGUAGAAGGUUUCCUCCCUGGUUUCAGAGCAGGCUGCUGCAGUGCUGGGACUAUGAACACGCCACCAUGCCCAGACUUAUUUCUUUCCAUAUGGAGUUGGAGAUCAAACUCAGGCCUCCACACUUUUGAGGUUACCUCCCUCCCCCAGCUUCCACCUGCCUUUAGCAAGGGACACCUUCCAUGAUAAACCAGGCAGGCCUGGCAUUUUCCACAAUCCCCACCUGAGUCUUCUGAUAGACCUGAGGAGAGGCAAAGUUCCUCAUAGACGGAUGCCGGGAGCACACAAUGCAUGGGGAUGCCAUGGAGGAUGGCAGAGAGAACUGAGGCCUUCGGCUCCCCUGAAGCAACAUUUACUUGACAUUGUAAACCGAGGGGUGCACACUGGGGAUGGGACUCUGACCCUCUGUGAGAACAGCCCAGGAACUGUGUGUUGCAUUGCGGAAACCCUCUGAAGGGUCAGCACUGUCGAAACAAAACAAAGUCGAAAUGGAGACCCCAGGCACCCAGUUUAAUGCAAGCUGGAGUUCAGAUGUUGUCUCAGAUAUGAUUCUUAUUCAGCCAGUCAGUAUGUGUUUCCUGAAAUCUCACUGGUGUCACAGAGAGACAGCAGAGUGAUACGCGUUGGCGGCCGGAUGACUUGAAAUGGCACUGCAAACACAAGAUGAUUUUACUUACGAAAUAUGGAGUUUUCAUAAAAUAGUUUGGGAUGAAGGAGACGGAGAAAAAGAACAAUGGGAAACCCCAGAAGACAAAACCUUUAAAAGUUCUUACGUGCUUGGUAUGCCUCUCCCUACUAAAUGUAAAAGAAAUCCCCCCAAAUAAAUAGUUUAAGAAAGUUUUGUAAACAGCAACUUAAUAAAAUUUACCCUA
ensembl:processed_transcript Gm10030 predicted gene 10030